CCUGUUUCCCUUUGCUUCGUGCCAUGCAGUGGCUGCUGGGUUGGGUGGCAGAUGCCUGAGGUGAGCUUCCAGGAUGGAUGGGCAUUCCGUCCGUCCAUCCAUCCAUUAGCCACCCAUCCAUCCACCCGUCCGUCUGUCCAUCCAUCCAUCCAUCCGUCCGUCCGCCCGUCCCCGGGCCGCCUCUCCGCGGAUCAGCCAGCAAGGGGCGCUGGGCGGCGGGUUUGCGGGGCGGCGGGUUUGCGGGCUGCGGAUCACCUGCAGCAGCGGGGGGGCCGGGAGCUCCGCCCUCCCCCCCCCCGCCGUUAAUCGCAUCCCCCUCCCCUUGUGCCAGGCACUGCCACUGAGGCGGCCGAGCCGCUCCGAGCCGUGCCGUGCCGAGCCGCGCCAACCUGCUGCAGGCGGGCGGGCACCCGCACCCCGCUCGCAGCCAGGGCCGGGCUGGGGCUGCCGCCUCCGCCAUCCCCGCACUUGCCCCAGCCCGGUAGGGCGGCCAGCCUUCGGCCGCCUCCUCCUUCUCCUCCUCACCGGGAGCCACCGCCGCCGCCCGGCAGAAAGGCAGAGCGGGGGAGCCAUGGCCGAGGGGGGCGAGGGCGAGGACGAGAUCCAGUUCCUGCGAACUCCCGCUCCGCAGCAAGGUUUCCGCUAACUUGCGGGGCGCCCUCGUCGCUGAGCACGGACUAACCCCUUCUCUGGCGUGGGCAUCCCUUCUGUACGUCUGUCUUCUUCAGUCCCGAGCACGUCAAGCGCUAGAGCACUUCUUCCCCGAGUUUAAUUAAUACGUCGGGACUGCUGCGUUUUGUGCUUCUCGGGGUUAUUUGUCUUCCAGCGACGCUUUUAUUUACCUGCUGGGCCAUCUCGCAAGUGCUGCUUGUACACACAGCCCCAGCAAGUUUUGUAGAUGGGCAUAUUUGCAUGGAGCCGUAUGCACACCCUGUCACAGCUUUUGGAAAAAUUGCUGAGAUGUUUGAUAGGAUGUUAUAGAGUCACUGAGACCAUGUGGUUAAGCUCAUCUUCCUUUUUAUUUAGUGCAGUCUGACUUAGAAAAUGUUCAUGAUCCGUGUCUUGUAAGAAAAUGCAUAAAAAGGAGGGGGAAGCAAACCACGUAGAUACCGUAUACGAAGCACUUCAUCUGCUGUUGGCAGCAUUAUGAAUCCUGGAUCUUGGUGGUCUUAGCUUUAUUUCAAUCAGAAACUGGGAAAUAAUAGAUAAUUUUCCUGUUAAAAUAUUUUGAAUUCUUGGAAGGUCUGGUUAGACAGGGAAUAUAGCUGUUAUGCAACACUAGCAUGAAAAUUGCCGACUUUUUUUUCCCCUCUCAGCAUUAUUUGACUUGUAUUGUAGUGUUGUAUAACACCUAAAGGCAAAACAAAAUACUUCUUUGAAAGAAAAUGGGCCAUUCAAUUUUUGAGUUUUAUUGUUAGUCCUCUUGCUGGUGAACAUUUCUGGAAGACUUGUACCAUCACAGGCAGGCUUACUGCAGGUUUGAAUGUUAAGCGUAGCUCAUGGAAGUGCUGUUAUCUGAAUGCCUAAUAGGGAAAGAGAAGCAGGGAAGCAUGCUAAUACUGCUCUGCACAGACAGAGUGUUAAACCACAGCACCUGACAGCAACAGCACAUUAUGUAAAAACAACACUCCUGAUAAUGUGCGUCAGGCUUAGUAGAGAUCUGGCAAACACAGCCUUAGACCAUCCUGGACAUUUUUUUAGGAUGUCGUACUGGUGGAAAAAUGACCUUGAACAGGGUAAACUGAGGCACAGGGAAGGCUUUUUGUGUAGUGAAAUAAAGUAAUAAGAAUAAAAAGAAAAAACCUUUUU
ensembl:lncRNA